rnacentral:rRNA from 1 species
CAGAGGGGCAAGCGUUGUUCGGAAUUACUGGGCGUAAAGGGCGCGUAGGCGGCCUUCUAAGUCGAACGUGAAAUCCCCGGGCUCAACCCGGGAACUGCGUCCGAUACUGGAAGGCUUGAAUCCGGGAGAGGGAUGUGGAAUUCCAGGUGUAGCGGUGAAAUGCGUAGAUAUCUGGAGGGACACCGGUGGCGAAGGCGACAUCCUGGACCGGUAUUGACGCUGAGGCGCGAAAGCCAGGGGAGCAAACGGGAUUAGAUACCCCGGUAGUCCUGGCCCUAAACGAUGAAUGCUUGGUGUGGCGGGUAUCGAUCCCUGCCGUGCCGAAGCUAACGCAUUAAGCAUUCCGCCUGGGGAGUACGGUCGCAAGGCUG